GCCCGGGUGGCUCAGCCGGCUGAGCAUCUGUCUUCGGCUCAGGUCACCAUCUCACGGUCUGUGAGUUCGAGCCCCACGUCGGGCU
rnacentral:tRNA from 1 species